AAGAACGGAAAGGCUGCUUGAGGACAGUGCUGAAGGACACCAAGGGCUCAGAGCGUGAUGCCUGGCUGCAGUGCCCCUCACACCUGGCCAGAAGCACCAUCUGGGGAAAUGAGAAGAGAUGGUUACCCUCAGUCAGCACAUGAGUGGCAGCCAAGAAGUCAAUCCUAGGCUGACCCAGAGGCAGUGUUCUGACUGGAAAAGCUGCCAGGCCCCCAGCCUACCAACUCCAGGGAUCUCCAAGGAUGGGCAGCCACAAGGUCAUUGGGGAGAGAGCAGCUCCUGCCCUUUUCAUUGCACUGCAUGGAUUCUACAGUGGGAGGAAAUGGCUGCCCCCAUGAUGCUACCUCAGGAGAGAGAAGAAAACACCCUUGUGAUUAAACAAUAGACCUCCA